CUCUACUAUUAUCUAGUAUUACUAUAUUUUUCCAUUAACAUAAAAAAGCAUAUUCUUUCUCAUUUUUAUUGAAUAAAUAAAAGUAAUAAAUAAGCAAAAUUUUCAUUUUUAUCUAUUUUCAAUUGAAUUUAAAUUGUAAAAAAAAAACUUCAUAAAAGAUUAGGAAAAGUAAAAGUAUAUGAUAUAGAAACCUUUAAUAUAAAUGAAUACAAAUAAAAACAAACAAAUCGAACCAAACUAUAAAAAGUACUUGUUAUUUUUAAAGUUUAAAGAAACUAUGUAAGGCAAAUAGUACUAAAUAAAAAAAAGGAGCAAUAACGCCCUCUUGUUUUAUCAAGAGGGAAGCUAUUGCUCCUUUUUUAGUUCAAAAACUCCUAUACAAUCAGACCAAAGUC
rnacentral:misc_RNA from 1 species